AGGCAGCAGUUAGGAAUCUUCCGCAAUGGACGAAAGUCUGACGGAGCAACGCCGCGUGAGUGAUGAAGGUUUUCGGAUCGUAAAGCUCUGUUGUUAGGGAAGAACAAGUACCGUUCGAAUAGGGCGGUACCUUGACGGUACCUAACCAGAAAGCCACGGCUAACUACGUGCCAGCAGCCGCGGUAAUACGUAGGUGGCAAGCGUUGUCCGGAAUUAUUGGGCGUAAAGGGCUCGCAGGCGGUUUCUUAAGUCUGAUGUGAAAGCCCCCGGCUCAACCGGGGAGGGUCAUUGGAAACUGGGGAACUUGAGUGCAGAAGAGGAGAGUGGAAUUCCACGUGUAGCGGUGAAAUGCGUAGAGAUGUGGAGGAACACCAGUGGCGAAGGCGGCUCUCUGGUCUGUAACUGACGCUGAGGCGCGAAAGCGUGGGGAGCAAACAGGAUUAGAUACCCGAGUAGUCC
rnacentral:rRNA from 1 species